rnacentral:rRNA from 2 species
UGGGGAAUUGUUCGCAAUGGGCGCAAGCCUGACGACGCAAUGCCGCGUGGAGGACGAAGAUCUUCGGGUCGUAAACUCCUGUCGAGCGGGACGAACGGCCCGGGGCCUAACACGCCUCGGGAGUGACGGUACCGCUAAAGGAAGCCCCGGCUAACUCCGUGCCAGCAGCCGCGGUAAUACGGGGGGGGCAAGCGUUGUUCGGAAUUACUGGGCGUAAAGGGCGCGUAGGCGGCCUUCUAAGUCGGACGUGAAAUCCCUCGGCUCAACCGGGGAACUGCGUCCGAUACUGGAAGGCUUGGAUCCGGGAGAGGGAUGCGGAAUUCCAGGUGUAGCGGUGAAAUGCGUAGAUAUCUGGAGGAACACCGGUGGCGAAGGCGGCAUCCUGGACCGGCAUCGACGCUGAGGCGCGAAAGCCAGGGGAGCAAACGGG